UUAAAAGUUACGAUAAGGACAUGAUUAUUUUGGAUACAUAUAGAUUAGAGAGGGAAGUCGUUUGGCUGAAAGCUUCCUCUAUAGGCCUGAAUAAUUACCACCUUUGAACUCUUUUCCAGAAGUUAUAGUAAGGAAUAGCGUAUCAUCUGCGUUAAAGAUGUAGAGCCGCUAAUUUUAGCGGGAACUAGGGUGGAACCACGAACUAUUAUACUACGCUCGUCCCUUUU
rnacentral:ncRNA from 1 species